ACACUUGAGAGGGUAUUUCAGGUGGUCUUGAGUGAUGACUAUGAGAGGGAGCAAAGAAAGUGCGGGAAAACAAGCUUCAAAUGGUGCAGCUUAGUUCAGCAUCAGCAUUUAAAUUUUUUUUUUUAUUUUAUUCCUGGGUAUGCUGGAUCUUCGCUGCUGCUCGGGCUUUUCUCUACUUGUGUUCACAGCUUCCUGGCUUCCUGGGUGUCUGCUGUCAUCUUCACCCAGCGUCAAGCUCUGUGCAAGGCAAGACGACAGGCAUCAGACCGACAGAAGACUGUCCUCAGGAAGCUCUCUGCCCUGACCAGGGAGGGGUUUACACAGGGCAGUGACCGCCCUGGGGCUCAACGGAUACUUCCUCAGAGCUGAUCUCCCUUUGUGCUCAGGCUCAUUUUUUCUGGGUCCCAGACCACCUCUUUGGCUGUCCAGCUGUCCUACAGAGAAAGCUCCUGGGGGGGCGGGGGGGAUUGGUUGCAAACAACCCUGAUGCAAGACAUUUCUCGAGACUGCUCUUCCAGAAUGUAAACACCCUUCCUCACUUCAGGACCAGAGCUCCUGCCAGGACUUUGAAAAACAAGUUACACAAGCACCUUUGGGGUGCUUGGUCAUGCCACAUCACAGGUGCUGCUACUUGGGGAUGUGGGGGAAGGGUGACCUCAAGGACUCAGUCAGGGACAGUGCAUAAAUGCCAGACUCACUGGGCCAAGAGUUCAGGAAAACACAAGCCCUUGGGCACCACAGUAAGACACCGCCUGGGCAAGGAGUCAGUCAUUUAAAGAUCAUUUCAGAGUUGCUUCAUGCCAUCACUGAAACAAUCCCAGGGCUCAGUAGAAGAAUCUGUUAUUAGAGCCGGGUCCCAGGCCAAGGUGGCCCUUCCUUAGAACUGCUCACUGUGAUAUCUUGAAUUUUCUCUCCCCUACAGAGAUCACCUCCCUGACUAUACUCACCCCACCUGUUUAAAAUUUUGGGAGCAGACAGCCUGUCACAAAAACACUUCAC
ensembl:lncRNA